UACGUAGGUGGCAAGCGUUGUCCGGACUUACUGGGCGUAAAGGGCGCGUAGGCGGUGUGUCAAGUCAGGCGUGAAAGCCCCGGGCUCAACCUGGGAACAGCGCUUGAGACUGGCACGCUCGAGUUCGGGAGAGGAUGGUGGAAUUCCCAGUGUAGAGGUGAAAUUCAUAGAUAUUGGGAAGAACACCGAUGGCGAAGGCAGCCAUCUGGACCGACACUGACGCUGAGGCGCGAAAGCGUGGGGAGCAAACAGG
rnacentral:rRNA from 1 species